CGGACGGCGUUUCGAGCGGCCUCGGCAUCGCGGUGUACGGCCUAAGCCCUGCGUGAGAUUGACAAUGGCUGGAAUACGCUCGUAAGUCUCGAAUUAAGGCAACAGGGCUACGACCGGUGCUGGCGGCCGUUUGGAGGUGAAGUGUUGAACCGGUUGGAUCUGGAGGAGUACGGAUUGGAAUCAAAAGGGCAAACUUUUCUCCUUUCCAUUUAUUUUCUUCUAGUUAGCAUUCUUGCACUUCUUCCUGUCUUUUAUGUUGCACUACAUGGAUUUGUCAAUGCGUUCAUAACUUCACUAAAUUUUGGAUGUUAAUUACAAGAUAUGACGACAGGGAUCAAAACUAACAAAUUAUUUUUGGCCCCCAAAAAAUGCCCUGCUUAGUGGUUAGCUUCAAUCGCUGAAGCUGCAGAUUAAGCUGCUUUUUACAUUUAAACAUGCAUCACACUUCCUUACUUUUUUCUUGAAACGAAUGAAUUAUAUUAUCACCAAAACUGAAAUCCAGCUGAUAUAAGGAAAUUAUCCAGAUGAUAUUCUAGGAUUUUGAAGAGAUAAUUUCUUGACUCCAAUCUGAAAUAUGAAAGAAUUCUAAAUGAUCGCAGAAUACUUUCUUCUUGCACCUGAUGCUACAUGAGUCGUAUAUUUCUGCCUUCUUCAUUAGGACCUAGUCCAAUCCUUGAACGCAAGCUUGGGUUUUGUCAUUUCUACUGAACUUGCACUUUGAAAUUUCUCUGAUGUUGCAUUCAUCGUGAAAUACAGAAUUUUCGUUCCUACUAUUUUCAACACAUCACCCUUAGUUGCAGCGCUUGGAUUUCAUUAUUCAGUCGCACGAAAAUUACAUAAGCAAACCAUAGCCUAUGCCAUAAUCCUCAAAUACAUGUAUCUGUGAACAGUUUCAUUACAAUAACAAGUUAACAACAUGGAUAUAUGGUAAAAUUCCCACACUCUACAUAACAUAGCAGUCAUUCUCAGCGGCGAGUGGUUGGCGGGUGGAAUGGGCAAUCAGAAGUGUGCAUGAUGAUCUAUUAUUUAUAAUUUCAGCUUCAGAUAUCUGGUAGUAGUAAUGCUUUCGUGCAGUGAGCUUGGCUUAUUGCGUCCAUAAUUUCGAGUUAGUCCCUAAGUGCAAAUUGCAAAUAUGCUCUUAAAAAAACAAAUUGCAAAUAUAUUUGCAUUUUCAAGCUUUCCAUAGACUCGUUUGCGCAUUUUGGUAUGAUGGUUUGUGUUCAGCGGUAGGUUUACUUAUAACGGGUUUUCUCUUCCAUUGUUCAUCCUUUUUUCGCUUCGUAAUUGUUCAGUUUUAUUUGACAUAAUUUUGUUACUAUAAAAAGUGAAUUUGAGAUAAGUAUUUCUGCAUAAUUUUUAUUUUAUUGGCUCCAGUCUAGUGCUAGUGGGCACGAUUAGCUAGGUUCUAUGUGAAAGUACCAAGCUGAAAGCAAUUUUUACUGGUUAUUUAAUGGCAUUAUGAAAUGCAUUGUGGUUACAAAUUAUGAAUUAAACUAAGCUCAUACAUAGUUUUUUAUGCUUGUCUGACGACUUAUAUCCUUCCCAUAAAUGUGCUUUGUUUCAGUUUUCUGAUAGGUUGUUUCACUUGAAGUGUUUAUCUUGUUUGGUUUGUAUGUUUAUAAUCAAAACUAUAUAAUAUGUCUGAAAGAAUAUUUUGCAACCCUUGCAAGCUUAACUAUCUUUUACUCUUGAUCUAUACUUGAAUAAAAUCAUUGUUCAUGUAUUGCAUUGUCACACCAUCUUUAUUUGAGUUGAGCUAGCUUUCGACUAAGCCAUCUUAAAUGAGUAUAUUUUGCAAUUACCUGACGUUUUCACUCACAAAUAUACAGAGUUCAUUGUAUAUUUCGUUAUUCCGCGGCACAAGCACCGCCCUGUAUUAUUAGUGAUUUAAAUCAUCUCAACAGUGGUGGGAGGCUGCAAUCUUUUUCUAUCAUGUUCUUCUUUACCGAUAUAAUCGGACUGCAACCAGGGUAUGGCGCUUGCUGCUGCUUUCUUCGCUCCAUCUCUGCCAAUCUGUAUGCCUAGUCAUUGGCAUGUUUUGAAAAAGCAUGUUGCUGAUCUGGAUGAACCCAUCUCGGAUAUCUUUGAGCGUUGUUGGGCAUGGAAGAAACAGGGUAUAUUUACAAUUGGAUUUGACCCAACCUACUGCUGCGUAUGUCCCCCUCCAUUGAGUGUCAAAUGAAUUUCCAUUUUAUGCAUCUACUGAUGUGAAUGAAGACGGUGGUAAGCAAAGUGAUAUGAAGCUGAAGUUUCUUCUGUCAGGGUUUAACAUCACUAAUGCGUGAGCUAUAGUUAUCUCUAACUUGAAUUGUGUAUGCACAAAGUAGCUUCAUAUGUAAUUACUGGGUAUACACCCAUAUCCUGUGUAUUCUUUUCGUAGUAGAUCUCUCUAGCCUUAAGUGCCACUUCUGUAUAUAGCUGAAUAUUCAUGUGUCCCCGCCCCUGCAAUGUACUUGGGUCAUGAUCUGA